rnacentral:rRNA from 1 species
GACGAACGCUGGCGGCGUGCUUAACACAUGCAAGUCGAACGGAAAGGCCCUGCUUUUGUGGGGUGCUCGAGUGGCGAACGGGUGAGUAACACGUGAGUAACCUGCCCUUGACUUUGGGAUAACUUCAGGAAACUGGGGCUAAUACCGGAUAGGAGCUCCUGCUGCAUGGUGGGGGUUGGAAAGUUUCGGCGGUUGGGGAUGGACUCGCGGCUCGUCAGCUUGUUGGUGGGGUAGUGGCUUACCAAGGCUUUGACGGGUAGCCGGCCUGAGAGGGUGACCGGCCACGUUGGGACUGAGAUACGGCCCAGACUCCUACGGGAGUCAGCAGUGGGGAAUAUUGCACAGUGGGCGGAAGCCUGAUGCAGCAACGCCGCGUGCGGGGUGACGGCCUUCGGGUUGUAAACCGCUUUCGCCUGUGACGAAGCGUGAGUGACGGUAAUGGGUAAAGAAGCACCGGCUAACUACGUG